rnacentral:rRNA from 1 species
UGCAAGUCGAGCGAACGGACGAGAAGCUUGCUUCUCUGAUGUUAGCGGCGGACGGGUGAGUAACACGUGGAUAACCUACCUAUAAGACUGGGAUAACUUCGGGAAACCGGAGCUAAUACCGGAUAAUAUUUUGAACCGCAUGGUUCAAAAGUGAAAGACGGUCUUGCUGUCACUUAUAGAUGGAUCCGCGCUGCAUUAGCUAGUUGGUAAGGUAACGGCUUACCAAGGCAACGAUGCAUAGCCGACCUGAGAGGGUGAUCGGCCACACUGGAACUGAGACACGGUCCAGACUCCUACGGGAGGCAGCAGUAGGGAAUCUUCCGCAAUGGGCGAAAGCCUGACGGAGCAACGCCGCGUGAGUGAUGAAGGUCUUCGGAUCGUAAAACUCUGUUAUUAGGGAAGAACAUAUGUGUAAGUAACUGUGCACAUCUUGACGGUACCUAAUCAGAAAGCCACGGCUAACUACGUGCCAGCAGCCGCGGUAAUACGUAGGUGGCAAGCGUUAUCCGGAAUUAUUGGGCGUAAAGCGCGCGUAGGCGGUUUUUUAAGUCUGAUGUGAAAGCCCACGGCUCAACCGUGGAGGGUCAUUGGAAACUGGAAAACUUGAGUGCAGAAGAGGAAAGUGGAAUUCCAUGUGUAGCGGUGAAAUGCGCAGAGAUAUGGAGGAACACCAGUGGCGAAGGCGACUUUCUGGUCUGUAACUGACGCUGAUGUGCGAAAGCGUGGGGAUCAAACAGGAUUAGAUACCCUGGUAGUCCACGCCGUAAACGAUGAGUGCUAAGUGUUAGGGGGUUUCCGCCCCUUAGUGCUGCAGCUAACGCAUUAAGCACUCCGCCUGGGGAGUACGACCGCAAGGUUGAAACUCAAAGGAAUUGACGGGGACCCGCACAAGCGGUGGAGCAUGUGGUUUAAUUCGAAGCAACGCGAAGAACCUUACCAAAUCUUGACAUCCUUUGACAACUCUAGAGAUAGAGCCUUCCCCUUCGGGGGACAAAGUGACAGGUGGUGCAUGGUUGUCGUCAGCUCGUGUCGUGAGAUGUUGGGUUAAGUCCCGCAACGAGCGCAACCCUUAAGCUUAGUUGCCAUCAUUAAGUUGGGCACUCUAAGUUGACUGCCGGUGACAAACCGGAGGAAGGUGGGGAUGACGUCAAAUCAUCAUGCCCCUUAUGAUUUGGGCUACACACGUGCUACAAUGGACAAUACAAAGGGCAGCGAAACCGCGAGGUCAAGCAAA